AGCGAACGCUGGCGGCAGGCCUAACACAUGCAAGUCGAGCGGAUGACGGGAGCUUGCUCCUUGAUUCAGCGGCGGACGGGUGAGUAAUGCCUAGGAAUCUGCCUGGUAGUGGGGGACAACGUUUCGAAAGGAACGCUAAUACCGCAUACGUCCUACGGGAGAAAGCAGGGGACCUUCGGGCCUUGCGCUAUCAGAUGAGCCUAGGUCGGAUUAGCUAGUAGGUGAGGUAAUGGCUCACCUAGGCGACGAUCCGUAACUGGUCUGAGAGGAUGAUCAAGCACACGGGAACUGAGACACGGUCCAGACUCCUACGGGAGGCAGCAGUGGGGAAUAUUGGACAAUGGGCGAAAGCCUGAUCCAGCCAUGCCGCGUGUGUGAAGAAGGUCUUCGGAUUGUAAAGCACUUUAAGUUGGGAGGAAGGGCAGUAAGUUAAUACCUUGCUGUUUUGACGUUACCGACAGAAUAAGCACCGGCUAACUCUGUGCCAGCCGCCGCGGUAAUAC
rnacentral:rRNA from 1 species